AAAAAAGUUACCACGGGAUUUUAAUUUCUCGGUCUGCAUUAACAAAUAGAACUUUCGCCAUUCGAGUGAGAAGGAGAAAGAAGAACGCUGUAGAGAAUAGGAGCAUAUUGAAUUUUUCUCCUGGCAGAAGAAUAAUUUUCACUUCUUGAAAAAAUGAAGACUUUUCAAUUUUACAACGACUUGAAAGAAUAUCUUUUACGGGAAGAAUUUAGCAACAAUUUUACGGUCAGAGAGCGAAGUGAAAUACGACGUGUGUCCGUGAAUUUUAUGAUUAAAGUCCAUCAUCCAUGCCCUGGCUGCUCUACAGGGUGUAUCAGGACAGGAGGCAGAAGACUUAUUUCUUGGUGGCCCAGAAUACAGUAUCAGUGAAGUGGAAGAAUUUAACUGAAAGAUAGGGCAGCAAUUAAAGAAGGAAGGAAUGCUGUGAUAUCUGUUGGAAUAGAAGAUGACUAGGGGGCUCCGCCCCCUGCUCGCUUCGCUCGCCAACCCCUGGCGUUGGGACAUGACAAAGAGUGAGAUGUAUGAAUUAGAUAUAGAAUAGUGUGCAGCCUUGGAUGAUGCGCAUAGAAAUAACAAAUAGAGUGUUUGGCAUAUAUUAAUGUUUUAUUGGAAUAUUUCUUUGUAUAUAACAUUAGUAGUAAAGAAGGUGUCUUGUCCUUGAAUGAGUCUUCCUUGGCAUGGAUCAUUUAUAAUUUUAACUCUAACGUCAGAUGAACGUUGAACACGUGAGAAGGCAACAUUGCGUUGGAAUGUAGGUGUGUUGUUUUUAUCAGGACGUAAAUGUAGAACAAUAUCUCUGUGAGAUGGAGGCCCACCAUCUUUACUUUGAAAGACAAUUGCCACUUCAUUAAAAACGGGCAGAUUGUAUCGUCUUGGAUCUUGUUCUUUGUCCUUUAUCAAGACCAAAGCAAUUGUAGUUGCUGCUAUACCUUCUGCAUUUGCUUUUGUAUUUGCCUCCUUUUCAACUUCAUGUAGCAUUUUUAUAGACUUAGCCAAUGGGUGAUUGUUUAUGACAUGAGUGACGUUUCUCAUUAUAAGCUCUGUGCAUUGUUUGUUUCAGGAAGGUUCAUGCGUUGAUAGAUUGCCUCAUCUGGAUCUAGGAUGUAGAUUUGUGCAUAUUUGCGUUGUUGAUUCGUUUCAGGGUGCACUGUUCCAAUGCGAUGCAAUAUUUGUCCACAUAUGCGAAAGCAGUAUGGGCCAUUGCCUUUUGGUGGCCUGAUAUGUACUCCUGUAGAUGCAAAAGCAAAUGAACUAUUGUAGGAUCUAAUGCAGUUCAUAAAGUUUUUACUUUCAGGCACAUCGUUAGUUAGAAGCUUCUUUAGAUAUUCAGGAUAUGAAUGUAAAGGAGGCAGUCUACUCUGACCUUUUUGACAACAACGUGUAAAUUCAUUAUUUGUAUUGCCAGUUGUUUCUUCUGUGAGGUUAAGUGAAUGACAAUGAUUGCAAAUGACAUUCAUUAAUCCCAAAGAAUUUUCCUCAAUAGAGGAUUCCUUAUUGAAGGCGUUUUCAGCCAUUUGGCGUAAGCGUUUAACAGGUGUGUGGCGUUGAUGUCCGCGACGGGCAUGUUUUGCUUUUGGCGUUUGAUUGCCUUUUUGUUGCAUGUCCAUUAUUUGUGACGCGCAAUUUUUUUCUUUUUUUUUAUUCGCCUCCGCUUUGCGCAAAGUCCGUUUCAGUCUACGCCGUGCAUUGUUUGUAUCGAGCCUUGUCCGUUUUUGUAUGUCGGUCAUUUGAGCUUGGUGCUUUUCGCGUCUUGCUUUUUUUUUUUUCUGUCAGUUCAUUUGCGCGUUGUUCACGUCUCCGUUCAUUUAUUCUGUCUCUUCGCUCCCUUUUUUGUAUGUCUGAUACGCGAGCUCUUUCGGUUUGAAAUCGUGCUUCUUUCGAUGCAGCGCGCUGAAUGCGUCUACGUGCAUUGUGUCGGUCCAUUUGGGCACGUUCCCGUUAUCCUUUCCGAAUCGUUUUGUACCCGUGACCGUGUAUUCAUGACUUGUUUCUUUCUCAGCAUGCGAAAUAUGGAUAAGUAAUAAGGAGGAUCGCACUCACUGUUAAUAUGUAUCCUUUUCUGCAGUUGAACGUUUAAUAGUGCUUUAUUGAAAGGACAUCCACCUAUGCUGACACCUAUGCUGCCUAGUGUGAAGGUGUCAACGUUCACUUUAGAAUAUGUGGCUUUGGGUGUCACUUCUUAUGGAUGUGUGGGGGGGAUUGUUGUUGCGCGAGCGUCUUCUUUCUUUUUGUGUUCCUGUGACUUGUUUGAAUCCCCCUCUUUGUGUGUGUCCCGUCCCUUGCUUGUAGGGUCUGUGGGGUGGUUUUGUGUUCUUUUUUUUUUUGUCUUCCAUAGGCUUGUUGAAUCCCCCUCUUGGUGUGUGUCCCGUCC